rnacentral:rRNA from 1 species
UACGUAGGCAGCGAGCGUUGUUCGGAGUUACUGGGCGUAAAGGGUGUGUAGGCGGUUGUUUAAGUUUGGUGUGAAAUCUCCCGGCUCAAUUGGGAGGGUGCGCCGAAUACUGAAUGACUUCGAGUGCGGGAGAGGAGAGUGGAAUUCCUGGUGUAGCGGUGAAAUGCGUAGAUAUCAGGAGGAACACCGGUGGUGUAGACGGCUCUCUGGACCGUAACUGACGCUGAGACACGAAAGCGUGGGUAGCAAACAGG